AGGGGGCGGAGAGAAAGUCCACCGGUGGCCCCGUGAAGGUCGAGGAGGCCGCCGCCUCGUCGUGCUCACCUCGAUCCACUUUUUCUCGCAUGUGUUCGGUGCGGGCAGAGGAAAUAGCAGAGGAUCACGUCGACGUCGACGCCCGGGGGGUCGAAGGGAGGGGCAGCGGCCUGGAAGAGCGCGACGAGCAGCGAAGCAAGUCGGUCGUGGGGCUGGAGCAGCAGCACCACAGCCUCCUCGAUCCCCUGUUCUCAUAUCCUAUUCGUGCGAGCAUGGGAAAUAGCAGAGGAGCACGCACGUGUUGACAUCCGGGGAGUCAGAGGGGAGGCGACCUACCGGUGGAGCGCGGUGAGCAGUGGAUCCGGUCGGUCGUGGGGCUGAAGCAUCAGCGCCGCCGCUUCCUCCUUUCCUUUAUCAAAGCUGAAGUGGUGUCGUCGACGUCGUCGUUGAUGGUGGCGGUCAUGUUGCCUGGGACGCCGUCAACACGCCGGUGCUGCCGCUGCUGGUGGAACUAUGCAAGUCGCUGCUGGUGCAACACUGCUGCUCAUGGUGCCCAACGUCGUCGGCGCGUCGUCGGCGCGCAACUCUCCUACCUUCUGCCCACCGGGUCACCCGGCAACGUCGAUGGUUCAACAACAUGGUGAUCACCCGAAUGCCCAUCAAAAUUGUUGGCAUGUGUUGCGGCUCUCAUGGUCCUACUGCCAACGGUGGGCGUCCAAGAGGCACUUGACCGCCGUGGCACCCCUCGUCCUCAAACUGCGCUGGUUCGGCGACCGCUCUGGCAAGCACGUCCCAGCGGUAGGUGGGCGAAUUCAGCUGAAGGAGCCGGAGUACAAAGCUAUACUUCCCCCUUCUCAGUGCUUUUGAUUACAGUGAUUACAGUCAGUAGGACCCCUCCAACGUGCCAAAGAUUAGCACAUGGAGCUGCCGGAGCCGGACGGCCCAACCUCACCGCCGACAGAAAAGCGCACGAUGGUGCAUGGAGUCAUCAUCCAUGUUGGAUCGGUGGAGGAUCACAUCACCACACGUUGUCACAGCUUCACUUUCUGUGUUUUUGAUAUGGUUGAUGGCACCAGCCCUUCUCCUUUCGAAGAUGGAGGUCACGGGUUUGCAGGGACAGGCUGGAGAUUUUUAGAUUUAAUUGUUUGAAUACGUAUAUUUCAUUUCAUAUUGUGUCAAGUCUUGCGUACUGCUCCCUCCGCUCCAUCCGUUUCAAAUUUGUGAACGGAGGGGUGCUUCAUAUGAGCUUCUAUCUAUAAACUUUUGUCCGCAAUCUAUUUGUGAUAACUUCUCUCCAAGGUAGGAGCCACUUUUGUAUGCUUACUUCUCGUGAUUCA